rnacentral:rRNA from 1 species
ACAGCAGUAGCCGCGGUAAUACGGAGGGUGCAAGCGUUAAUCGGAAUUACUGGGCGUAAAGCGCACGCAGGCGGUCUGACAAGUCAGAUGUGAAAUCCCCGGGCUUAACCUGGGAACUGCAUUUGAAACUGUCAGGCUGGAGUCUUGUAGAGGGGGGUAGAAUUCCAGGUGUAGCGGUGAAAUGCGUAGAGAUCUGGAGGAAUACCGGUGGCGAAGGCGGCCCCCUGGACAAAGACUGACGCUCAGGUGCGAAAGCGUGGGGAGCAAACAGGAUUAGAUACCUCUGUAGUCCCUGUCUCUUAUAC